rnacentral:lncRNA from 10 species
UCUCCGACUGACUCCUUCCCAGAUCAUCUCGGCUUAGCGGCUGAAGACUGACACUGCCCGAUGGCCUCAGAAGCCCCCUAGACCAUCACGGACACUGAGCUUCCGGUAACUCUCACAGUGGAAGGCAUUACACCUAAAAGUAAUUUGAGCACCUUGAGCUUAGAGCCUACCUUGGCUAAUGUGAAACACUCCAGCUGUGCUAAGAUGGUCCUCAAUAGUCAACAAGCACUUCUGAAAGUCUGCGGCAGUUCAUUACCAACAUCACAAGCAAAACAUGCGCUCUCCCUGGGCAUUGAAGGUCCACCGGAAAUUAAGCAGACGGGGCUGCAAAGCACCUCAGAGUGAAGCCAGCCAGCUUCAUCUGCUGCAGCAGGCUGGAGGCAAGCACAAGGAGCGGCAGGAAUGAAAGGCUUCAGCGCCUUCCCUGGUGUCUCUGUGCCUUCUGAGUUUUCAGCUGACAUGGAGCAGUGAUUCCCUGAAAAGGAUGGGAUCUUGCUCCCUCAAAGAUCAGCCUUCUUUGAUGAGCCUGCUCCAGGUGGAGUGGAGCAACCACUUUAGCUUUUUAGUGCAGAGAAGACUUAGGAAGUUUCAUUUUCCUUGACUGGGGUUCUGCUUUCUGUACUGACCCUUCCUGGUCAGUGGGGAGCUCGGAGCUCUGAGUUGGAGCACCUUACCAAAAUCUUCUCUGAGUGGGGUUAAGUAAGCCAGCAGACUCUGCAAGAACAGAGCCUUGCUGAAUUUAGCUUUCCAGAAAGCCCUAUUUUAAGGGAACUCAGUAUUUCAGCAAGAUGCUGGAUUAGGGGGAGAAAACAAGUAGUCUGUUAAUUCUUUGUUGUUGUCAGCAGCCUUGCAGGUUCCUGGACCAUGACACAUCAGCACAGUCCUAAGUAACAGAAGACUCAGGUCCUCACCAUGACCUCAAACAGCAUGAUCUCUGUGAAUCUCAGUAAAUCAUUCUGAGCUUCACUUUCCUUGUUCACACCAUAUAGCUAUUUAUAUCUGCUCCACAUGAUGGGCAAGGUCACUGGGAAGUGUAGAUUAUAUAAGGCAUGGGAAUGGCUUCACAGGUUCAUGUGGGACAUCACAUGGUGAGGCACAGAGAUCAGAAGGUUUGGGUUCAAAUCAGCUCUGCCGAGCUGGAGAAACCAUGUUAGUACUUGACCCUGGUGUUUCAAACUCAAAAUCAGAAUAAGAUUAGGGAUAGGAAAAAGACCACACGAGAUACUUCUGAGUUUUAAAUGAUUUAUUUGAAUGAGGUCAACUUUCGUUCACUUCUAAAGGAAGAUAGAAGUGUGAGUUUUGUAAUUAGCCUAGAGAACCGGGGGAGCAAGACCCUACUGAACAAGCCUCCUCCAGAGCUCGCCCCAAAGUCUGGAGUGCAAAAUGUCCACCUCGUUAUGAUUAAUGAAGCCUCUGGAUAUAGAUCAGAAGACUAGAAAUGUCUGUGAAAGGAGCUCUUCCAGGGGCUCAGCCAAAACCAGGAGAAUUGCCCUCGACUCCUCUCUUUCCUUGUUUCUAAGCCAUCGGCAAUUUUGCUCAGCUCCAUCGUCAGGAAGUCCCAAAUCAGACCACUGCUCCCUGAUUCCACAGCUUCCGUCCUGGUCCAGGCUCCAUAAUCUCCCCCUGAACCUCUGAAAGAGCCUCUUAAGCAGACUCCUGCCGCUCCCCACCCUUGCUUCUCUUGUCUGUUUCUUCAAGCAGCCAAAGGGAUCCCUGUUAAAAUGUUAAGUGCAAUCUCAUCAGCCUCUGUUCAAAACCCUCAGAUGGCUUUAAGCAGAGUAAAAUCCAUAAUUCUCACCACAGCCAGGGGGACCUUGGUGACCUCAUUCCUCCAUGAGGGUAUCUCCCUCCACUCUCCUCAUCCCGUUUUCUGUUCCAGAUGCACUGACCAUCUAGUCCUACCUGGGAACAUGAACACCAGGAAUGCUGCUGCCUGGGAAGACUUUCACUUUCUGUUCUUUCUGCCUGAAACACUCCUUCCUGGGAAUCCACAUUAAUCCAUAUUCUUUCUUUGCUAGAGUCUGACUGAAAUAUCAUCUGUGCAGAGAGGCCUAUCUUACCACCCUAUUUUAAAUAAUACAUGUAUGUGUACGCACACCCAUGUGUAUGCACUCUCCAUCUCCUUACUUGCUUUAUUUUUCUUUAUUCACUCAUCAUCUUCUUCUAUACAUCCAUUCAUUUACUCUUCUAUCGUCUGUUUUAUACUCCUGCCCUUGAUUAGAAUAUAAAUUUCCUAAGAGUACAGACUUGGUCUGUUUGAUUCACUCUUCCAGUGCCCAAAAUAGUGUCUGACACAUAUCAAUUAUUUAAUAAUUAUUUGCAGAUAUGACAGCAUGAAUGAAUUAGAUCAGAUAAUCUAAGAACUGUUUUGCAGUCAUCACAGGGCACUGUAAUAAAGCCAUUAGAAAAAUAAUUAAUUGAGCUUGAUGAUGUAGCAGGUAGUCAUGACUGUAGCUGGCAGGUCCCAGAAGAUAGUCACAUUAACUAUGUUGUCAUGAGAACAAGCCUAGGUUGUAAGGCUAAAUCUUCUACGAUGUUGUAGAGAGGCAACCUCCCCCACAGCAGGAAAAGCCACCCCUUUAAUAUUCAUUAUGAAGCAAAGAGACUAAGUGAAUAAUUUACAUGCUACCUGUGUUCUCCUCCAUGCUAGCCCUGAUAUAUUUUCAAUAUUCCAUUCCUCUUGCUCCCUCAGCUCUGUUUCAGGCAGCAAUUUCAUGCCACGCAGAAUAUGAAUCUAACAGGUGAAUUUCCAUCCAGGGUCCAAUUCUCUUACUACUGAUGUGGAGAAAACCGUAAACAAAGCCACAGUAAAGCCUCCUUUUUGAGGCUGAGUAAAGCCAGAUGAAAGGCAAGAGAGACUCAGCAAAACAUAUUUAGGAGAUGGGAAAAUAAAUAAAUUCCUUUAAAAGUUGCAUAAUGUUCAAUAGCAUGUAUCCACUGUUACGUAUUCAAUCUUUACCUUGUUGAUGCAUUUUCCAGCUUACUUUUCAUUUUCUUCCUCGGCAAAGCUGCAAUAAACAUUCUCCUAU